UAUAUUGGUACGCGAAGCUUCCAACCCGCCUCUGGCGGUUAUGUUUGGUCAAUUUUUUUUGACCGGGGUUUACGGACCCC
rnacentral:misc_RNA from 1 species